rnacentral:rRNA from 1 species
GACGAACGCUGGCGGCGUGCUUAACACAUGCAAGUCGAAUGGAAAGGCCCUGCUUUUGUGGGGUGCUCGAGUGGCGAACGGGUGAGUAACACGUGAGUAACCUGCCCUUGACUUUGGGAUAACUUCAGGAAACUGGGGCUAAUACCGGAUAGGAGCUCCUGCUGCAUGGUGGGGGUUGGAAAGUUUCGGCGGUUGGGGAUGGACUCGCGGCUUAUCAGCUUGUUGGUGGGGUAGUGGCUUACCAAGGCUUUGACGGGUAGCCGGCCUGAGAGGGUGACCGGCCACAUUGGGACUGAGAUACGGCCCAGACUCCUACGGGAGGCAGCAGUGGGGAAUAUUGCACAAUGGGCGGAAGCCUGAUGCAGCAACGCCGCGUGCGGGAUGACGGCCUUCGGGUUGUAAACCGCUUUCGCCUGUGACGAAGCGUGAGUGACGGUAAUGGGUAAAGAAGCACCGGCUAACUACGUGCCUGCAGCCGCGGUGAUACGUAGGGUGCGAGCGUUGUCCGGAUUUAUUGGGCGUAAAGGGCUCGUAGGUGGUUGAUCGCGUCGGAAGUGUAAUCUUGGGGCUUAACCCUGAGCGUGCUUUCGAUACGGGUUGACUUGAGGAAGGUAGGGGAGAAUGGAAUUCCUGGUGGAGCGGUGGAAUGCGCAGAUAUCAGGAGGGACACCAGUGGCGAAGGCGGUUCUCUGGGCCUUUCCUGACGCUGAGGAGCGAAAGCGUGGGGAGCGAACAGGCUUAGAUACCCUGGUAGUCCACGCUGUAAACGGUGGGUACUAGGUGUGGGGUCCAUUCCACGGGUUCCGUGCCGUAGCUAACGCUUUAAGUACCCCGCCUGGGGAGUACGGCCGCAAGGCUAAAACUCAAAGGAAUUGACGGGGCCCCGCACAAGCGGCGGAGCAUGCGGAUUAAUUCGAUGCAACGCGUAGAACCUUACCUGGGUUUGACAUGGAUCGGGAGCGCUCAGAGAUGGGUGUGCCUCUUUUGGGGUCGGUUCACAGGUGGUGCAUGGCUGUCGUCAGCUCGUGUCGUGAGAUGUUGGGUUAAGUCCCGCAACGAGCGCAACCCUUGUUCACUGUUGCCAGCACGUUAUGGUGGGGACUCAGUGGAGACCGCCGGGGUCAACUCGGAGGAAGGUGGGGAUGACGUCAAGUCAUCAUGCCCCUUAUGUCCAGGGCUUCACGCAUGCUACAAUGGCUGGUACAGAGAGUGGCGAGCCUGUGAGGGUGAGCGAAUCUCGGAAAGCCGGUCUCAGUUCGGAUUGGGGUCUGCAACUCGACCUCAUGAAGUCGGAGUCGCUAGUAAUCGCAGAUCAGCAACGCUGCGGUGAAUACGUUCCCGGG